rnacentral:rRNA from 1 species
GACGAACGCUGGCGGCGUGCUUAACACAUGCAAGUCGAACGGAAAGGCCCUGCUUGCAGGGUACUCGAGUAGCGAACGAGUGAGUAACACGUGGUUGAUCUGCCCUCCACUUCUGGUUAAUCCUUGCAAACUGGGUCUAAUACUGGGGAGGAUCCCGUUUUAGCGGGAUGGUUGUGAAGGUUUUUCGUUGUAGGAUGAGCUCGCGGCCGGUCAGCUUGUUGGUGGGGUAAUGGCCUACCAGGGCGGCGACGGGUAGCCGGCCUGAGAGGGUGGACGGCCAAAUUGGGACUGAGAUACGGCCCGGACUCCUGCGGGAGGCAGCAGUGGGGAAUAUUGCACGAUGGGGGGAAGCCUGAUGAAGCGACGCCGCGUGGGGGAUGACGGCCUUCGGGUUGUAAACUGCUUUCGCUAGGGACGAAGCUUUUUGUGACGGUACCUAGAUAAGAAGCACCGGCUAACUACGUG